rnacentral:rRNA from 1 species
AGAGUUUGAUCAUGGCUCAGGAUGAACGCUGGCGGCGUGCUUAACACAUGCAAGUCGAACGGAAAGCCCCUUCGGGGGAAUUCGAGUGGCGAACGGGUGAGUAACACGAGGGCAAUCUGCCCUUCUCUCCGGGAUAACUCAGGGAAACUUGAGCUAAUACCGGAUACUCCGGGACUGUCGCAUGGCAGACCCGGGAAAGCUCCGACGGAGAAGGAUGAGCCCGCGGCCCAUUAGCUUGUUGGUGAGGUAACGGCUCACCAAGGCAGCGAUGGGUAGCCGAGCUGAGAGGCUGAUCGGCCACACUGGGACUGAGACACGGCCCAGACUCCUACGGGAGGCAGCAGUGGGGAAUAUUGCGCAAUGGGCGAAAGCCUGACGCAGCAACGCCGCGUGCGGGAUGACGGCCUUCGGGUUGUAAACCGCUUUCAGCAGGGACGAAACUGACGGUACCUGCAGAAGAAGCCCCGGCUAACUACGUGCCAGCAGCCGCGGUAAUACGUAGGGGGCAAGCGUUAUCCGGAUUCAUUGGGCGUAAAGAGCGCGUAGGCGGCUUGUUAAGCGAGAUGUGAAAUCCGUGGGCUCAACCCGCGGCCUGCAUCUCGAACUGGCAGGCUUGAGUCUGGUAGAGGGGUGUGGAAUUCCCAGUGUAGCGGUGAAAUGCGCAGAUAUUAGGAGGAACACCAGUGGCGAAGGCGGCACCCUGGGCCACGACUGACGCUGAGGCGCGAAAGCUAGGGGAGCAAACAGGAUUAGAUACCCUGGUAGUCC